rnacentral:rRNA from 1 species
GGUUAAGCGACUAAGCGUACACGGUGGAUGCCCUGGCAGUCAGAGGCGAUGAAGGACGUGCUAAUCUGCGAUAAGCGUCGGUAAGGUGAUAUGAACCGUUAUAACCGGCGAUUUCCGAAUGGGGAAACCCAGUGUGAUUCGUCACACUAUCAUUAACUGAAUCCAUAGGUUAAUGAGGCGAACCGGGGGAACUGAAACAUCUAAGUACCCCGAGGAAAAGAAAUCAACCGAGAUUCCCCCAGUAGCGGCGAGCGAACGGGGAGCAGCCCAGAGCCUGAAUCAGUAUGUGUGUUAGUGGAAGCGUCUGGAAAGGCGUGCGAUACAGGGUGACAGCCCCGUACACAAAAAUGCACAUGCUGUGAGCUCGAUGAGUAGGGCGGGACACGUGGUAUCCUGUCUGAAUAUGGGGGGACCAUCCUCCAAGGCUAAAUACUCCUGACUGACCGAUAGUGAACCAGUACCGUGAGGGAAAGGCGAAAAGAACCCCGGCGAGGGGAGUGAAAAAGAACCUGAAACCGUGUACGUACAAGCAGUGGGAGCCUCUUUAAUGGGGUGACUGCGUACCUUUUGUAUAAUGGGUCAGCGACUUAUAUUCUGUAGCAAGGUUAACCGAAUAGGGGAGCCGAAGGGAAACCGAGUCUUAACUGGGCGUUAAGUUGCAGGGUAUAGACCCGAAACCCGGUGAUCUAGCCAUGGGCAGGUUGAAGGUUGGGUAACACUAACUGGAGGACCGAACCGACUAAUGUUGAAAAAUUAGCGGAUGACUUGUGGCUGGGGGUGAAAGGCCAAUCAAACCGGGAGAUAGCUGGUUCUCCCCGAAAGCUAUUUAGGUAGCGCCUCGUGAAUUCAUCUCCGGGGGUAGAGCACUGUUUCGGCAAGGGGGUCAUCCCGACUUACCAACCCGAUGCAAACUGCGAAUACCGGAGAAUGUUAUCACGGGAGACACACGGCGGGUGCUAACGUCCGUCGUGAAGAGGGAAACAACCCAGACCGCCAGCUAAGGUCCCAAAGUCAUGGUUAAGUGGGAAACGAUGUGGGAAGGCCCAGACAGCCAGGAUGUUGGCUUAGAAGCAGCCAUCAUUUAAAGAAAGCGUAAUAGCUCACUGGUCGAGUCGGCCUGCGCGGAAGAUGUAACGGGGCUAAACCAUGCACCGAAGCUGCGGCAGCGACACUAUGUGUUGUUGGGUAGGGGAGCGUUCUGUAAGCCGUUGAAGGUGGCCUGUGAGGGUUGCUGGAGGUAUCAGAAGUGCGAAUGCUGACAUAAGUAACGAUAAAGCGGGUGAAAAGCCCGCUCGCCGGAAGACCAAGGGUUCCUGUCCAACGUUAAUCGGGGCAGGGUGAGUCGACCCCUAAGGCGAGGCCGAAAGGCGUAGUCGAUGGGAAACAGGUUAAUAUUCCUGUACUUGGUGUUACUGCGAAGGGGGGACGGAGAAGGCUAUGUUGGCCGGGCGACGGUUGUCCCGGUUUAAGCGUGUAGGCUGAUUUUCCAGGCAAAUCCGGAGAAUCAAGGCUGAGGCGUGAUGACGAGGCACUACGGUGCUGAAGCAACAAAUGCCCUGCUUCCAGGAAAAGCCUCUAAGCAUCAGGUAACAUCAAAUCGUACCCCAAACCGACACAGGUGGUCAGGUAGAGAAUACCAAGGCGCUUGAGAGAACUCGGGUGAAGGAACUAGGCAAAAUGGUGCCGUAACUUCGGGAGAAGGCACGCUGAUGGUAGGUGAAGCGACUUGCUCGUGGAGCUGAAAUCAGUCGAAGAUACCAGCUGGCUGCAACUGUUUAUUAAAAACACAGCACUGUGCAAACACGAAAGUGGACGUAUACGGUGUGACGCCUGCCCGGUGCCGGAAGGUUAAUUGAUGGGGUCAGCCGCAAGGCGAAGCUCUUGAUCGAAGCCCCGGUAAACGGCGGCCGUAACUAUAACGGUCCUAAGGUAGCGAAAUUCCUUGUCGGGUAAGUUCCGACCUGCACGAAUGGCGUAAUGAUGGCCAGGCUGUCUCCACCCGAGACUCAGUGAAAUUGAACUCGCUGUGAAGAUGCAGUGUACCCGCGGCAAGACGGAAAGACCCCGUGAACCUUUACUAUAGCUUGACACUGAACAUUGAGCCUUGAUGUGUAGGAUAGGUGGGAGGCUUUGAAGUGUGGACGCCAGUCUGCAUGGAGCCGACCUUGAAAUACCACCCUUUAAUGUUUGAUGUUCUAACGUGGACCCGUGAUCCGGGUUGCGGACAGUGUCUGGUGGGUAGUUUGACUGGGGCGGUCUCCUCCUAAAGAGUAACGGAGGAGCACGAAGGUUGGCUAAUCCUGGUCGGACAUCAGGAGGUUAGUGCAAUGGCAUAAGCCAGCUUGACUGCGAGCGUGACGGCGCGAGCAGGUGCGAAAGCAGGUCAUAGUGAUCCGGUGGUUCUGAAUGGAAGGGCCAUCGCUCAACGGAUAAAAGGUACUCCGGGGAUAACAGGCUGAUACCGCCCAAGAGUUCAUAUCGACGGCGGUGUUUGGCACCUCGAUGUCGGCUCAUCACAUCCUGGGGCUGAAGUAGGUCCCAAGGGUAUGGCUGUUCGCCAUUUAAAGUGGUACGCGAGCUGGGUUUAGAACGUCGUGAGACAGUUCGGUCCCUAUCUGCCGUGGGCGCUGGAGAACUGAGGGGGGCUGCUCCUAGUACGAGAGGACCGGAGUGGACGCAUCACUGGUGUUCGGGUUGUCAUGCCAAUGGCACUGCCCGGUAGCUAAAUGCGGAAGAGAUAAGUGCUGAAAGCAUCUAAGCACGAAACUUGCCCCGAGAUGAGUUCUCCCUGAGACUUUAAGUCUCCUGAAGGAACGUUGAAGACGACGACGUUGAUAGGCCGGGUGUGUAAGCGCAGCGAUGCGUUGAGCUAACCGGUACUAAUGAACCGUGAGGCUUAACCUU